CUUCAGUUUCCUUCCUGACGUGUUCCUCCCAGCUGCGGCUCCGCCUGCACAGACCGCGAGGCGCUGCUGGAGAGUGAGAGCCCCGAAGAAGGACUGAUGGACCGACACACUGACGGGCAGGCAGACAGGAAUGAUGAACUGGGGGAAUUCCACGUUAACUUGAACGACCUCCAGGAAUUGAUACAGAGAGAAAGGAGCAGAACCAGGAGAACAGAGACUGAUGCAUUGUGGCACAAUCAACUGUAAUGGAGUUUUCUACUAGCAGCAAUGCAAUGACCCAGGACAAUCCAGAAGAAUUUAUGAGAAAGAAUGCUAUCUAUAUCCAGAGAAAGAACUGUGGGGACAGAAUCCAGAAAAAAAAAAUGAUUGAGCACAUGGUUCGAUGGGGAUAUGAUUGGGGUUUUGAUGUUAAAAGAUCACUAGACUGCAAAUAUGAAUAAUAUGAAAAUAGGUUUUGAACAAUGAUACAUGUAUAGCUCAGUGGAAUUGCUUGUCAGCUCUGGGAGGGGAGAGGGAAGAGGGAGGGAAAGAACAUGAAUCAUGUAACCAUGGAAAAAUAUUCAAAAUAAAUAAAUAAAUUUAAAAAUAAAUAAAUAAAAAUUUGACCAU